rnacentral:rRNA from 1 species
UAGGGAAUCUUCGGCAAUGGACGAAAGUCUGACCGAGCAACGCCGCGUGAGUGAAGAAGGUUUUCGGAUCGUAAAACUCUGUUGGUAGAGAAGAACGUUGGUGAGAGUGGAAAGCUCAUCAAGUGACGGUAACUACCCAGAAAGGGACGGCUAACUACGUGCCAGCAGCCGCGGUAAUACGUAGGUCCCGAGCGUUGUCCGGAUUUAUUGGGCGUAAAGCGAGCGCAGGUGGUUUAUUAAGUCUGGUGUAAAGGCAGUGGCUCAACCAUUGUAUGCAUUGGAAACUGGUAGACUUGAGUGCAGGAGAGGAGAGUGGAAUUCCAUGUGUAGCGGUGAAAUGCGUAGAUAUAUGGAGGAACACCGGUGGCGAAAGCGGCUCUCUGGCCUGUAACUGACACUGAGGCUCGAAAGCGUGGGGAGCAAACAGGAUUAGAUACCCUGGUAGUCCACGCCGUAAACGAUGAGUGCUAGAUGUAGGGAGCUAUAAGUUCUCUGUAUCGCAGCUAACGCAAUAAGCACUCCGCCUGGGGGAGUACGACCGCAAGGUUGA